ACUACACAAUGACUCUACUACAAUGUCUACUGCUAAUGAAUACUACAAUGCCUCUACAUGUCAAUUAUGCAAAUAACCACGACAUGCACGAUGCUUGCCCUUGUGCCAUGGAGCCAAAACAUGCGAACUUCACCACCUCCACCACUUCAACCAUUACAUUCUCCACCAACCUUCACAUUCCCCACCCAAAUUGUCACCGUCAAGUCAUAGUACCGUUGGACAUCCUCAUAGCCCUGGCCGAUCUCCCUUGGGGCUAAUGGCCAUUCUCCGCAGGACGAAGAAGAAGAAUUUUUUUUUUUUAGUUCUCUCUCAUUCCAUUCGAAGCGACCGUGGCGUCAGUGCUUAUGGAUCCAGCUGCUGAUAAACCGGCGAAUAAGCGCAAGGCUUCGGCUGCUUCCAAGAGCUCUAAGGCAUCCUCAGGUUCACGGAAGAGCAAGUCGUCCGAAGCUUCGACGAAGUCUGCCGAUGUGCGCGGAAAAUUGGCGGAUCCUGCUCAGGUUAGACAGGACACCCUGACUGCAGCUGCAUCGCACAGGAGUUAGUUGCAGUUGGCGAGGUCUCAAAAGUUCCUGUCGAAGGAAACGGGCGAGGCAAUUCGAAGCAAAACGCAGAAAAACCAGCCGGAGGAGACUUCGAAACUGAAGCAAGUAGAAAAGCGCUAUGAACGCAAGCUCGGAGAACGUAGUAAAGAGGACCAUACCCUUUCGACUGGCUCUACUCGUCACCCAACAGACAACACUGCUGAAAAGGAAGGCCUUUUCGGUUACAGUUCAGUUCCAGUUUCGAACCCUGCCUGCAGUGCGACACAAAAAUUCCGUCAUCCGCUUCUGCUGAGUGUACAGUAUGGCAAAAGGUGUCCUGUCGCCAAAGCCUGCAAGGCUAGCGGAUGACAACUGUGAGCAUCAACUGCUACUAUACGCUACAAUAAAUCUUAUGUAUAAUUUUU